rnacentral:rRNA from 1 species
GGAUCCAGACUUUGAUCCUGGCUCAGGAUGAACGCUAGCUACAGGCCUAACACAUGCAAGUCGAGGGGAAACGGCAGCUUAGCUUGCUAAGCUGGACGUCGACCGGCGCACGGGUGAGUAACGCGUAUCCAACCUGCCCCACGGUGAGGGAUAACCCGCGGAAACGCGGCCUAAUACCUCAUGGUCUCCGAGUUUGCCAUCAACCUUGGAGUAAAGAUUCAUUGCCGUGGGAUGGGGAUGCGUCUGAUUAGCUUGUUGGCGGGGCAACGGCCCACCAAGGCAACGAUCAGUAGGGGUUCUGAGAGGAAAGCCCCCCACAUUGGAACUGAGACACGGACCAAACUCCUACGGGAGGCAGCAGUGAGGAAUAUUGGUCAAUGGGCGAGAGCCUGAACCAGCCAAGUAGCGUGCAGGAAGACGGCCCUAUGGGUUGUAAACUGCUUUUAUGCGGGGAUAAAGCGGGCGACGUGUCGCCCUUUGCAGGUACCGCAUGAAUAAGGACCGGCUAAUUCCGUGCCAGCAGCCGCGGUAAUACGGAAGGUCCGGGCGUUAUCCGGAUUUAUUGGGUUUAAAGGGAGCGCAGGCCGGGUAUUAAGCGUGUUGUGAAAUGUAGGCGCCCAACGUCUGCACCGCAGCGCGAACUGGUGCCCUUGAGUACGCACGACGUUGGCGGAAUUCGCCGUGUAGCGGUGAAAUGCUUAGAUAUGGCGAAGAACUCCGAUUGCGAAGGCAGCUGACGGGAGCGCUACUGACGCUCAUGCUCGAAAGCGCGGGUAUCGAACAGGAUUAGAUACCCUGGUAGUCCGCGCGGUAAACGAUGGAUGCCCGCUAUUUGCGCAUUAGCGCAAGUGGCCAAGUGAAAACGUUAAGCAUCCCACCUGGGGAGUACGCCGGCAACGGUGCAACUCAAAGGAAUUGACGG